UAUUAAAAUUUUCAUCAAUUUCUACUGUAAAAAAUUAGCAUGACUGAUAGAAUAACUAGAAAAUUACACGUUGUGUGCCACAUGAACAUCUGACGUGGCUAAUUUUUAACAAUAAAAAUAGAUAGAAAUUUUAACA
rfam:Gossypium hirsutum cultivar TM-1 unplaced genomic scaffold scaffold477.1, whole genome shotgun sequence